rnacentral:rRNA from 1 species
GUCUGGCGGCAGCUACACAUGCAAGUCGAGCGGAUGACGGGAGCUUGCUCCUUGAUUCAGCGGCGGACGGGUGAGUAAUGCCUAGGAAUCUGCCUGGUAGUGGGGGACAACGUUUCGAAAGGAACGCUAAUACCGCAUACGUCCUACGGGAGAAAGCAGGGGACCUUCGGGCCUUGCGCUAUCAGAUGAGCCUAGGUCGGAUUAGCUAGUUGGUGAGGUAAUGGCUCACCAAGGCGACGAUCCGUAACUGGUCUGAGAGGAUGAUCAGUCACACUGGAACUGAGACACGGUCCAGACUCCUACGGGAGGCAGCAGUGGGGAAUAUUGGACAAUGGGCGAAAGCCUGAUCCAGCCAUGCCGCGUGUGUGAAGAAGGUCUUCGGAUUGUAAAGCACUUUAAGUUGGGAGGAAGGGCAGUAAGUUAAUACCUUGCUGUUUUGACGUUACCGACAGAAUAAGCACCGGCUAACUCUGUGCCAGCAGCCGCGGUAAUACAGAGGGUGCAAGCGUUAAUCGGAAUUACUGGGCGUAAAGCGCGCGUAGGUGGUUCGUUAAGUUGGAUGUGAAAGCCCCGGGCUCAACCUGGGAACUGCAUCCAAAACUGGCGAGCUAGAGUACGGUAGAGGGUGGUGGAAUUUCCUGUGUAGCGGUGAAAUGCGUAGAUAUAGGAAGGAACACCAGUGGCGAAGGCGACCACCUGGACUGAUACUGACACUGAGGUGCGAAAGCGUGGGGAGCAAACAGGAUUAGAUACCCUGGUAGUCCACGCCGUAAACGAUGUCAACUAGCCGUUGGAAUCCUUGAGAUUUUAGUGGCGCAGCUAACGCAUUAAGUUGACCGCCUGGGGAGUACGGCCGCAAGGUUAAAACUCAAAUGAAUUGACGGGGGCCCGCACAAGCGGUGGAGCAUGGUGGUUUAAUCGAAGCACGCGAAGAACUUACAGGCUUGACAUGCAAAGAACUUUCAGAGAUGAUGUGCUUCGGGACUCUGACACAGGUGCUGCAUGCCUGUCGUCAGCUCGGUCUGAGAAUGUGGGUAGUCCGUACGAGCGCACCUGUCUAGUAACAAGCACGU